ACAUAAGUCUACUUAACUCUGCCCCCUGUUGAUAACUUGCCACAAUAUGUAUCUAUGCCCCAGCGAACUGCUCUAAUCUCUUCUUAGGCAAAGCACAGCUGCCUAAAAUAUGUAAAGCUGUGUUUAAUCGUCUUCACCUCCAGAUUCUCCCCAGAAGAGACGGGGAGAGGGGGGUGGUGAGCACAGCCUCGGAGCCCAUGGACGACUUCAAACAGCCAGCAGAGGAUCCCCCACCAGAAUAGAAACAGCAUACCAUUCCAACAACCUCUGCAGUAUGUUGUUCACGUGAUGGAAAAUACAGUUUUAUCGUCCUCUGGGCAAAACAAGUGUGGACUAGACUUAAGCUGACACCUUGUGAAACAGUCAACAUCUCCCUUGGAUUCCUCCACAAGUUAAUCAAAUGAUUACUCCAUGCCAGGAGAAUUCAGAUUCAAGAGUUAAUGACUAGGUUUGGUUUGUGUUGGCUCAGGUGAGACAUGCUCCCAAUGUUCAGCAUGAAAGAACUCAGACACUGUGAGGGUGAAAACAGUCCCUCUUUAAGUUGCAACAAUUAAGCUGUUAAGACUGAAUACACAAUGUCUUGCCACAAGACAUGCCAAAGCACCUAUUCUGUUGUGCACACAAGCUUUUUUAUGGAAGCAAAUCAGUACCUGAAUUUGUUGGUUUGGAAUUCACCUCUUUAAAAAUGAAAGUGUGUUGAAAUUUCAACAUUAAGUUUUCAAUGCCUUUAAAAAUUCAAAAUAUCAAGUCACUGAUUUGCUUCCAUACUUUUAAGAUUUGAGAUUUAUUUGCAUGUCGAAGAGAUAAUUACAACUGUCUAUGUUUAUGGAAACUAUGUACUAUUAUGUAUUAUGAAACUAUUAUGUUUUAUCUAUAAAUACCGCACUGGUUGUGUAGCAAUUUACUAGAACAGUUUUCAAACAAUGUCUGGAUGUGAUAGUCAUUUAUGUUCAAACAAUCGAUAACAAUAAGAGUUUUUCGUCAACACUGGUAUCAUGGCAAGAAAUGAACAGAAAACAAGUUUAACUGUAAAUAAAUGCAAAUCAUACAUGUAUUCCAGAUCUGUUCAGUCUCAUGAAGAUGUUUGU